AGAGUUUGAUCCUGGCUCAGGAUGAACGCUGGCGGCGUGCUUAACACAUGCAAGUCGAACGGGAAACCUUUUAUUGAAGCUUCUGCAGAUUUAACUGGUUUCUAGUGGCGGACGGGUGAGUAACGCGUGGGUAACCUGCCUUGUACAGGGGGAUAACAGUCAGAAAUGACUGCUAAUACCGCAUAAGCGCACAGGACCGCAUGGUCCGGUGUGAAAAACUCCGGUGGUAUAAGAUGGACCCGCGUUGGAUUAGCUAGUUGGCAGGGUAACGGCCUACCAAGGCGACGAUCCAUAGCCGGCCUGAGAGGGUGAACGGCCACAUUGGGACUGAGACACGGCCCAGACUUCUACGGGAGGCAGCAGUGGGGAAUAUUGCACAAUGGGGGAAACCCUGAUGCAGCGACGCCGCGUGAAGGAAGAAGUAUCUCGGUAUGUAAACUUCUAUCAGCAGGGAAGAAAAUGACGGUACCUGACUAAGAAGCCCCGGCUAACUACGUGCCAGCAGCCGCGGUAAUACGUAGGGGGCAAGCGUUAUCCGGAUUUACUGGGUGUAAAGGGAGCGUAGACGGAGUGGCAAGUCUGAUGUGAAAACCCGGGGCUCAACCCCGGGACUGCAUUGGAAACUGUCAAUCUAGAGUACCGGAGAGGUAAGCGGAAUUCCUAGUGUAGCGGUGAAAUGCGUAGAUAUUAGGAGGAACACCAGUGGCGAAGGCGGCUUACUGGACGGUAACUGACGUUGAGGCUCGAAAGCGUGGGGAGCAAACAGGAUUAGAUACCCUGGUAGUCCACGCCGUAAA
rnacentral:rRNA from 1 species